rnacentral:rRNA from 1 species
UACAGAGGUCUCGAGCGUUAGGCGGAAUCACUGGGCUUAAAGCGUGUGUAGGCGGGUCCGUAAGUACAUUGUGAAAUCCCACGGCUCAACCGUGGAACUGCUUGGUAUACUGCGGGUCUUGAGCCACUUAGGGGCAAGCGGAACAAACGGUGGAGCGGUGAAAUGCGUAGAUAUCGUUUGGAACGCCAAUGGUGAAAACAGCUUGCUGGGAGUGUGCUGACGCUGAGACACGAAAGCCAGGGGAGCAAACGGG